AUGCCCCCUUGGGAGCGCUUCCGCGAGCUCUGCCUCCUUCGUUUUGGGCCCCCGAUCCGCGGGAGCCGCCUGGCGGAGCUAGGCCGCCUUCCCUUCACCUCCACGGUUCAGGACUUCGCCAACCAUUUCCAGGCCCUGGCAAGCCACGCGUCGGGCGUGACGGUGCAGCAGCGGGCCGACCUCUUUGUCGGUGGACUUCCGGAUCACAUUCGCGUGGACGUGGAGCUUCAGGGACCCCAAGAUCUCCAGACGGCCAUGUACUACGCCCGCGCGUUCGAGCGCCGCGCGGUGGCCGUCCAGCAGGAGUCACCGUCCCGGGCCACUGGGUCGGCCUGCUCAGGCUUCUGCGGCACCCCUCGCCGCGACCGCGGCACGCCCGUUCCACUGGCUCACCUCAGUCGAGCUACUCGAGCGUCGCCGCCAAGGGUUGUGCUUCAACUGCGACGAGCCCUACACGCCCGGCCACGCCUGCCCACGACUCUUCUACCUGGAGGUUGCAGACUACAUUCCGGAGGACGUCGUCGCUGCCGACCUUGCCGCCCCAACUGUCGCGAAGGUGUUUGA
rnacentral:rRNA from 1 species